CAAACGGCCCUUUUCAGGGCCAAUAAAAAUUUUCAACGUUGACUCUU
rfam:Lasius niger Lnig_2.1_3627, whole genome shotgun sequence.